rfam:Erythranthe guttata cultivar DTN x IM62 scaffold_172_contig_1, whole genome shotgun sequence.
AGUUGCGCGGUAAGCACAUAGCGAACUAUUCUUUCGCCUUUUACUAAAGAAUACCGUGUGUUUGCCGCUUUUCAAGCAGCAUACGCCUCUUUUUGAAGGGUUUUUUCCUCUUAAGGAAU